rnacentral:rRNA from 1 species
UACGGAGGGUGCAAGCGUUGUUCGGAAUUAUUGGGCGUAAAGCGCGUGUAGGCGGUCAUGUAAGUCAGAUGUGAAAUCCUUCCGCUUAACGGGAGAAGUGCAUUUGAAACUACAUGACUGGAGUACGGGAGAGGAGAGUGGAAUUCCCGGUGUAGAGGUGAAAUUCGUAGAUAUCGGGAGGAACACCAGUGGCGAAGGCGGCUCUCUGGCCUGAUACUGACGCUGAGACGCGAAAGCGUGGGGAGCAAACAGG